UUUCACAUCAAGUAAUUUGGACUUCUGCUUUUACAUUGAACUGCACAUGGAUCGCAAGACAGGCCAGUAGACUGCUUUUUUUAAACUCAGGAAAUAAAGAGUGAAGUGAAAACUCAAACUGAGCUACUGCAGUAACACACUGGGAAAUAGUUUGAAGCAUAAUGAAGCUCCUUUUAAAUGCAAUUUUACUGGUCGGUUGGUUAGCUUUACAGAAAUGUGGGGAAGCAUAUGUUUCUGGAUAUGGCGAUAUUUCCGAAUCACUUCCUGAGGACAGGAGACAAGAAGAUAUUGAGAGUGAGUGGGUGUACUUGGAUUGGCCCAUCAGCCCGGAUGUCUUAAAGCCCAGAAUUGCAGUGUAACAGCAGAUGAAGGACAGAGGUCAAGUGAUAGUGUGGUGUAUGUUUGGAAUGACUGAGCGGUCCGACUGGGGCUCUGUUGAUCUGUCAGUGGAGAGUGAACAUAACUAUACUAUGGAGGAAUUUGUCUGCUUCAGAUAUGGUAAAGUGUGUCAGUUUGAGGCAACAGUGAGCCCACCUGUUUCCUUCACCUGUGUGCAUGAACUUUAUUUGAAUGGAGAUGUCAAGUACCUGCGCAGCGAGACCUACACAUACGCCUUGGAUCAUCGUGACGGAAUAUCUUCAUCUUACAUUGGCUUUUCCUCCUUCAUUGUUGUUGGUCUCAUUAUAAUGACUGCUGCCGUGAUAGUGACCACCAUUAGGAGCAAUGCUAAAGUUAACACAGGCCCAACUGAGAAGGUUAUCGACAAUGACUACUUGGAUGCCUGAAUAAUUUAGAUUUCUGAAGAAGGAAGAACAGACAUGAAGAAAUACUCAACUUUCUCUGUUGUAUGUUUUAUAUUCAAAUGAAUAUUUUAUAUUUCAUUAGGAUGUGUUGCAUACAGUAUAUACAAUUUUUGAAAAAUAUAAUUUUAGAAAAAUGUAUGAAAGGCAAAAUGUAUUUUUAUAUGCAUCACAUCCGUUUGGUUAAAUUUUCAGAUUUUUAAAAUAUUUAGAUGAUGAUUAUAAUGACUGUAUAUUAAUGGCUUUGGUACUGUCUUGGCAUGUUUUUUCACAUUUCAAAUUUUCCCAUUUUAAUGCACUUAGUAUACUCCCUAGUAAUAAAUCCUUACUUCUCUUCUGCUUCACUGUUGCUCUUUUACACUUCUCUUUUGGAACUGUUUAUUGUAAAAACUUUCAUGUUACUGUCUGAAUCGCUGUCUAGGAUCACUUAUGCUGGAGUAGCAUUCCUCAUUUGUAAGUGCUAAUAAUACAUGUAAAAACUUUACUGUUACUGUUUUCCUACUGCUGUAGAUUUAAAUAAUGUCUACAUCCAGUAAGGGGCAGUUGUAGCUGUGGUUUGGUAUUUGCCUGAAUAUUGAGUUGCUUUAAUAAGAUGGCAAUAAUCAUUAUGAUUAUGCAUACUUUUUUAGUGAAUGUUAUGUGGCUCUUAUUGUUAAGCUUUUUAUAGAUGCAGAGUAAUGCAGUAUCAAAAUCUUUGAAUUCUGUAUAUGAAUUUAUGAACCACCCUGAUACUUUUUAAAUUUUCAAUCCUGAAAAUCUGUUACUCUUGUAUUACCGUAUAUAUGAAUGCCAUUUUAUUUGUCUUGUUUUAUUACAAAUAAAAAGUUAUUAUUCUU